AUCAUCACGUCAACAAUAACAAAACCUUUCCAAAAUCCGCUCGGAUCACACCGUAACCGUGAAGUGAAGUGCCCCGAAGAUUGUGUACUGAGCUACGAAGACCCAAUCGCAAAUCGUGUUUCUGCUGCCUUGUCACAACUCUAUUUUGGUGCAAGAUUCGCUCCGCUGGUCCAUAACAAAACAGCUCUUCUGGAAGACGCGUUCCCGAAAUUUAGGCCGGUAAAAUAGAACUGGAAACGUAAUCAUGGCAAAGACUGUGUUGGUAACCGGCGGAACGGGCCUGGUGGGAAAAGCAAUCGAAGCUGUCAUCAAGGAGGAAAAUCCGUCAGAUGAGAAGUGGAUUUUUGUGGGAUCCAAGGAAGCUGACCUCACGGAUCUAGCGAGCACCCGGCUAUUGUUUGAACGUUACCAGCCAACGCAUGUGGUUCAUCUGGCAGCCAUGGUUGGAGGAUUGUUUCACAAC